GAUGAACGCUGGCGGCGUGCUUAACACAUGCAAGUCGAACGGUGAACGAGGGAGCUUGCUCCCUCCGGAUCAGUGGCGAACGGGUGAGUAACACGUGAGCAAUCUGCCCUGGACUCUGGGAUAAGCGUUGGAAACGACGUCUAAUACCGGAUACGAGGCGUGGGGGCAUCCCCAACGCCUGGAAAGAACUUCGGUCCAGGAUGAGCGCGCGGCCUAUCAGCUUGUUGGUGAGGUAACGGCUCACCAAGGCGACGACGGGUAGCCGGCCUGAGAGGGUGACCGGCCACACUGGGACUGAGACACGGCCCAGACUCCUACGGGAGGCAGCAGUGGGGAAUAUUGCACAAUGGGCGAAAGCCUGAUGCAGCAACGCCGCGUGAGGGACGACGGCCUUCGGGUUGUAAACCUCUUUUAGCAGGGAAGAAGCGAAAGUGACGGUACCUGCAGAAAAAGCACCGGCUAACUACGUGCCAGCAGCCGCAGUAAAAC
rnacentral:rRNA from 1 species